rnacentral:rRNA from 1 species
GACGAACGCUGGCGGCGUGCUUAACACAUGCAAGUCGAACGGAAAGGCCCUGCUUUUGUGGGGUGCUCGAGUAGCGAACGGGUGAGUAACACGUGAGUAACCUGCCCUUGACUUUGGGAUAACUUCAGGAAACUGGGGCUAAUACCGGAUAGGAGCUCCUGCUGCAUGGUGGGGGUUGGAAAGUUUCGGCGGUUGGGGAUGGACUCGCGGCUCAUCAGCUUGUUGGUGGGGUAGUGGCUUACCAAGGCUUUGACGGGUAGCCGGCCUGAGAGGGUGACCGGCCACAUUGGGACUGAGAUACGGCCCAGACUCCUACGGGAGGCAGCAGUGGGGAAUAUUGCACAAUGGGCGGAAGCCUGAUGCAGCAACGCCGCGUGCGGGAUGACGGCCUUCGGGUUGUAAACCGCUUUCGCCUGUGACGAAGCGUGAGUGACGGUAAUGGGUAAAGAAGCACCGGCUAACUACGUG